rnacentral:rRNA from 1 species
GACGAACGCUGGCGGCGUGCCUAAUACAUGCAAGUAGAACGCUGAAGGAGGAGCUUGCUCUUCUGGAUGAGUUGCGAACGGGUGAGUAACGCGUAGGUAACCUGCCUGGUAGCGGGGGAUAACUAUUGGAAACGAUAGCUAAUACCGCAUAACAGUAGAUGUUGCAUGACAUUUGCUUAAAAGGUGCAAUUGCACCACUACCAGAUGGACCUGCGUUGUAUUAGCUAGUUGGUGGGGUAACGGCUCACCAAGGCGACGAUACAUAGCCGACCUGAGAGGGUGAUCGGCCAAACUGGGACUGGAACACGGCCCAGACUCCUACGGGAGGCAGCAGGAGGGAAUCUUCGGCAAUGGACGGAAGGCUGACCGAGCAACGCCGCGUGAGGGAAGAAGGGUUUCGGAUCGUAAAGCUCUGUUGUAAGAGAAGAACGAGUGUGAGAGUGGAAAGUUCACACUGUGACGGUAGCUUAACAGAAAGGGACGGCUAACUACGUG